rnacentral:rRNA from 1 species
CAAUAGCGUAUAUUAAAGUUGUUGCAGUUAAAAAGCUCGUAGUUGGAUUUCUGGUGAGAUGGAUUAUGUCUAGGUCGAAAGAUCUUGCUCAUGGUUCGUUUUGCCCUUCUUGUCAGGAACCCGCUGAGAUUCGCGUCUUGUCGGUGGAAUGGCAUCGUUUACUGUGAAAAAAUUAGAGUGUUCAAAGCAGGCAUCGCCGUUGAAUACAUUAGCAUGGAAUAAUAAGAUAAGACUUUGGUGGUCUAUUUUGUUGGUUUGCACGCCAAAGUAAUGAUUAAUAGGGAUAGUUGGGGGUAUUCGUAUUCUAUUGCUAGAGGUGAAAUUCUUAAAUUUAUGGAAGACGAACUACUGCGAAAGCAUUUACCAAGGAUGUUUUCAUUAA